rfam:Eucalyptus grandis cultivar BRASTZ1 unplaced genomic scaffold scaffold_2, whole genome shotgun sequence.
UCACUUACCUGGACAGGGUCGACGGGUGAUCAAGAUGGCCCAUGGCCUAGGUUCACUGCCUCCAUUGCACACCAGGCGAUGAGUCAGCCUAAGGCCUGCUCCUUGUAGCAGAACCUAAGUCAUAAAUUGUGGUAGCUGGGGCCCGUGUUCGCGCAGCUGACAC